rnacentral:rRNA from 2 species
UAAGCGGAGGAAAAGAAACUAACAAGGAUUCCCCUAGUAACUGCGAGUGAAGCGGGAAAAGCUCAAAUUUAAAAUCUGGUGGUCUUUGGCCGUCCGAGUUGUAAUUUAGAGAAGCGUCUUCCGCGCUGGACCGUGCACAAGUCUCCUGGAACGGAGCGUCGUAGAGGGUGAGAAUCCCGUCUUUGGCAUGGACACACCAGGGCUUUUGCGAUGCGCUCUCGAAGAGUCGAGUUGUUUGGGAAUGCAGCUCAAAAUGGGUGGUGAACUCCAUCUAAAGCUAAAUAUUGGCGAGAGACCGAUAGCGAACAAGUACCGUGAGGGAAAGAUGAAAAGCACUUUGGAAAGAGAGUGAAACAGUACGUGAAAUUGUUGAAAGGGAAACGCUUGAAGUCAGUCGCGUCGUCCGAGACUCAGCCUCGCCUCGGCUUGGCGUACUUCUCGGCCCGACGGGUCAGCAUCAAUUUCGCCUCUCGGAUAAUGGCGAGGGAAAAGUGACACCUUUACGGUGUGUUAUAGUCUCUCGUCGCAUGCGAGGGUCGGGAUUGAGGAACUCAGCACGCGCCCUCGGGCGUCGGGGCUUUCGCCCACGAUACGUGCUUAGGAUGUUGGCGUAAUGGCUUUAAACGACC